rnacentral:tRNA from 1 species
UUCCUGGUGGUCCAGUUGUUAAGACUUUGUGCUUCCAAUGCAGAAGGCCUAGGUUUGAUCCCAGGUCAGGAAC